GCUGGGCAUGGUGGUGUGUGCCUGUAGUCCCAGCUGCUCAGGAGGCUGAGGCGGGAGGAUGGCUUGAGCCCAGGAGGUUGAGGCUGCAGUGAGCCAUGAUCAUGCCACUGCACCCCAGCCUGGGCAACAGAGCAAGACCCUGUCUCAA
rnacentral:SRP_RNA from 1 species